AGCGAACGCUGGCGGCAGGCUUAACACAUGCAAGUCGAACGGCCCUUCGGGGCAGUGGCGGACGGGUGGGUAACACGUGGGAACGUGCCCUUAGGUUCGGAACAACACAGGGAAACUUGUGCUAAUACCGGAUGUGCCCUUUUGGGGAAAGAUUUAUCGCCUUUGGAGCGGCCCGCGUCUGAUUAGCUAGUUGGUGGGGUAAAAGCCUACCAAGGCGACGAUCAGUAGCUGGUCUGAGAGGAUGGCCAGCCACACUGGGACUGAGACACGGCCCAGACUCCUACGGGAGGCAGCAGUGGGGAAUUUGGACAAUGGGCGCAAGCCUGAUCCAGCCAUUCCGCGUGCAGGAUGAAGGCCCUCGGGUU
rnacentral:rRNA from 1 species